rnacentral:rRNA from 1 species
GGGCCCGCACAAGCGGUGGAGCAUGCGGGUUAAUAGGAUGAUACGCCAAGAACCUUACCAGGGCUUGACAUGACGGGGACAGCCUGUGAAAGCAGGUCUCCUGGGCAACCAGGUCCCGCCACAGAUGGUGCAUGGUUGUCGUCAGCUCGUGCCGUGAGGUGUUGGGUUAAGUCCCGCAACGAGCGCAACCCUCGCCAGAUGUUGCCAUCGGGUCUACGGAUGCCGGGCACUCUUCUGGGACUGCCUGAGUAAUCAGGAGGAAGGAGAGGACGACGUCAAAUCUGCAUGCCUCUUACGCCCUGGGCUGCACGCGUGCUACAAUGGCGAGUACAAAGGGUAGCGAAGCCGCGAGGUGGAGCCAAUCCCCCAAAACUCGUCCCAGUUCGGAUCGGACGUCUGCAACUCGACUCCGUGAAGGCGGAAUCGCUAGUAACCGUGGAUCAGCAAUGCCGCGGUGAAUACGUUCCCGGGCCUU